GAUGAACGCUGGCGGCGUGCCUAAUACAUGCAAGUCGAGCGAACAGACUAGGAGCUUGCUCCUCUGACGUUAGCGGCGGACGGGUGAGUAACACGUGGAUAACCUACCUAUAAGACUGGGAUAACUUCGGGAAACCGGAGCUAAUACCGGAUAAUAUAUUGAACCGCAUGGUUCAAUAGUGAAAGACGGUUUUGCUGUCACUUAUAGAUGGAUCCGCGCCGCAUUAGCUAGUUGGUAAGGUAACGGCUUACCAAGGCAACGAUGCGUAGCCGACCUGAGAGGGGGAUCGGCCACACUGGAACUGAGACACGGUCCAGACUCCUACGGGAGGCAGCAGUAGGGAAUCUUCCGCAAUGGGCGAAAGCUUGACGGAGCAACGCCGCGUGAGUGAUGAAGGUCUUCGGAUCGUAAAACUCUGUUAUUAGGGAAGAACAAAUGUGUAAGUAACUAUGCACGUCUUGACGGUACCUAAUCAGAAAGCCACGGCUAACUACGUG
rnacentral:rRNA from 1 species